GAGGACGUAGCUCAGUGGUAGAGCGCAUGCUUACCCUGCAUGGGGUCCUGGGUUCAAUCCCCAGUGCCUCCA
rnacentral:tRNA from 1 species